GUCAAACUUCAAUUUUCAAUUUAAAAGCCUUUUAAGCCUACUGUACUUCUAUUUGAGUUUGUACCUCUCUAAGCUGAGGAUGGAAAAUAACGAAAUUGGUUGCUUUAUCUAUGAUUAUGAGACUGACUUCUCGACUUGCUCCACAUGCAACUAAUUUGGUCAUAGUAAGUAGUAAAAAAAAAUAAUCAAUAUAAUUGUGAUUCUAUGUCACCAUACUGAAAUAGUAUUAUCAUAAACUUUUAUUAUAUAUCGAUACAAAUCUCCCUUCAGUGAUCAAAAUUGAUUUAUUUGGGUAGCUUAAGAAAUUCCAGUAGUCGUUAUCUGUCUCAUUUGAAUGUAAGCUGUCAUGCGCCGAAGUUGUUUGUAAAAAUGCCUGCCAGAGACAUCACUUCAUGUAUUUUUUUUUGAAUCUUUUGAUCUGAGAUUUUUCCUCUCUUUGCAGUGCAAGCAAUACAGAGAGUACUCAGCAGUGCCUUUGCUUGAAUGGCACAGCUCUCAGCCCUUUUGGGAGGAGGGAAAUGGCAGAACUGAAGCCUGUUUGAAGUAAUGCAGAGCUAUCCACAGAGGUAAUAGACGAAUAGUCUAAUAUAACAAGGAGAGUAUUAUCUACAAACAAGUGAAGUGAUCAAUGCAUAAACAUUUACAUCUAUUGUUACAAUUGAUUCCUAUAUUGGCUUUUAUUUGUAAACCUUUUACAUGAUCUUUAUUUUCCUUUCUUCCCCCUUUCUUUUUUCAUGAACUUGUGUUGAGGUUCGCAGCGAAAAUGCUUUUGAGUUACUUCUCACAGUUUAAGGAGAAACAAAUCACUGUGACUGCUUCUCCCAUUUAUCCAGGUUUGAGUGUACUCUGGUUCUGGAUGAUCAUCUCUUUUAGUGCUUCAGGGUACCUGCAUUUAGCCAUAAAAAUGGCUUCACCAUGCACCAGCCGACCAGGAGUGCGGACAAUGUCUCCUCCUUUGAUUGCUCGCCACCUAACAAUCAGAUGUAAAGUUGGUUGACAGUGGAGAAAAACAACCAUUUGGAGUUUGGCAAAAUCUGUUCCCACACAAAAUCUCAUCCCACCACCAAAGGCCAUGAAAUGUUUGGAGGCGCCAUUCAGUUCCAUUCCCUGUACGUGACAAAAGUAGAGUUUUCAAGAGUAUAAGCAAUACGUGACAGGAUUCAAGUGUACAGAUGGAGGAGAGAUCAUAACAGCCCAACCAGCUGGAAUGGUGUAGCCUGCAUUUAUCCCUGAGUUUAUAUGAAGGUACACGAUGGAUCGAUGUAUCUUAUUCCUAUGAACAAACUCGAACACCAUUGCUAGAUACUAACCGAUUCUUCAUAUAGAUACGAACCUUUGAAGUUGAUUUCUUUUAGUGCUUUUCUGAAAAUUGCUGGAACUAUAUUUGUCAGCCUGACUGUUUCAUUGAUAAACUACAAUUUUGCUUUGAAGUUAGCAUUGCAGAACCACAGGUGGGAAAUUUAUCAAAAUCACUUAUAUGGCCUUUGAAAGGAGUAAGUGAAAUCUGUUGACCUACCCAGGAUGUAAAUAUCAUUGAUUUAUAUUCUUUCCAUGUAAGUCCAGAAUUUGGAUCUUCCCUUCUUCUUAGAAUUGCCUCAUGCUCCUCCUGGGGGGUAUAGAACAUGGCAGUUAGGAGGACAAUGUAAGACAUGAUCGAAACAACAUAUUCUGUUGAAAUGUAUUGUUUUCACCGACCGUUAGUUCCUUCAGCACCAAAGGAUGGU